GACGAACGCUGGCGGCGUGCUUAACACAUGCAAGUCGAACGGAAAGGCCUGCUUUCCCUUGUGGAUUGCGGGUACUCGAGUGGCGAACGGGUGGGUAACACGUGAGUGAUCUGCCCCCAACUUGGGUAUAAGCCUGGGAAACUGGGUCUAAUUCCCGAUAGGACUGCAGGGUGGUGCCUGUGGUGGAAAACGAUUUUCUAGUGGUUGGGGAUGAGCUCGCGGCCUAUCAGCUUGUUGGUGGGGUAAUGGCCUACCAAGGCGGCGACGGGUAGCCGGCCUGGGAGGGUGGACGGCCACAUUGGGACUGAGAUACGGCCCAGACUCCUACGGGAGGCAGCAGUGGGGAAUAUUGCACAAUGGGCGGAAGCCUGAUGCAGCGACGCCGCGUGGGGGAUGACGGCCUUCGGGUUGUAAACUCCUUUCGGCCGCGAGGAAGCCACCUGGUUGGAAGGGUGGUGACGGUAGUGGUAGAAGAAGCACCGGCUAACUACGUG
rnacentral:rRNA from 1 species